rnacentral:rRNA from 1 species
AGCGAACGCUGGCGGCAGGCUUAACACAUGCAAGUCGAGCGGCCACCCUUGUGGUGUUAGCGGCUGACGGGUGAGUAACGCGUGGGAACGUGCCCUUCGUUUCGGAAUAACUCUUGGAAACUGAUGCUAAUACCGGAUACGUGCUAGUGCAGAAAGGGUUGUCUGGGGUAGGAUCGGCCCGCGUCUGAUUAUAUAGUUGUUGAGGUUAUGGCUCCUCAAUGCGACGAUCAGUAGCUGGUAUGAGAGGAUGACCAGCCACACUGGGAGUGAGACACGGCCCAGAAUACUACGGGAGGGAGGAGUGCGGAAUACAGGAAUACGGCGGGAAUGAUGAUCCAGCCCUGGCGGGUGAGCGCUGACGGCGUUAGGGAAGUAAAGCUCGUUUAUUCGGGACGAUAAUGACGGUACCGGAGGAAUAAGCACCGGCUAACUUCGUG